rnacentral:rRNA from 1 species
CCUACGGGUGGCUGCAGUGGGGAAUAUUGGACAAUGGGCGAAAGCCUGAUCCAGCCAUGCCGCGUGUGUGAAGAAGGCCUUCGGGUUGUAAAGCACUUUCAGUGGGGAAGAAAGCCUUGGGGCUAAUACCCUCGAGGAAGGACAUCACCCACAGAAGAAGCACCGGCUAACUCCGUGCCAGCAGCCGCGGUAAUACGGAGGGUGCGAGCGUUAAUCGGAAUUACUGGGCGUAAAGCGCGCGUAGGCGGUCUGAUAAGCCGGUUGUGAAAGCCCCGGGCUCAACCUGGGAACGGCAUCCGGAACUGUCAGGCUAGAGUGCAGGAGAGGAAGGUAGAAGUCCCGGUGUAGCGGUGAAAUGCGUAGAGAUCGGGAGGAAUACCAGUGGCGAAGGCGGUCUUCUGGACUGACACUGACGCUGAGGUGCGAAAGCGUGGGUAGCAAACAGGAUUAGAUACCCUUGUAGUC